UACGUAGGGUCCAAGCGUUAAUCGGAAUUACUGGGCGUAAAGCGUGCGCAGACGGUCACGUAAGUCAGUGCUGAAAUAUCCCGGCUUAACCGGGAGGGUGGCAUUGAUACUGCAGGGCUUGAGUAAAGUUGAGGUUGGCGGAAUUGACGGUGUAGCGGUGAAAUGCUUAGAUAUCGUCAAGAACACCGAUAGUGAAGACAGCUAACUAAGCUUUAACUGACGCUGAGGCACGAAAGUGUGGGGAUCAAACAGG
rnacentral:rRNA from 1 species